rnacentral:sRNA from 1 species
AUUCGAAAAAAAAACUGUUUUACAUCAAGUGCAGCUUUUGUGUUAAGUGGUUCUCGAAAGAAAUAUAAUAGUCAAAUUAAAUAGAAGUGA